CUUUUCUCACAAAAUCUUCAUUUUUUUCAGGUCUGCAGGCAACAAGAAGGACCUACUGAGGUCAUUUGAAGUUUGGCUUUACUUUAGAACCUGGAAGAUGUAUGCUGUGACAAAUUCUUCUGGUCGGCAGGAAAUCCUGAAGGACAAUGUGAGACCAUGAGAUUAAGGCAUGAGGACUUCGCUAUGCACUAGGAGAUGAUCAGCUUUGACUCAACAGGAGAAAAAUGAAGGAGUGGGAGGAGCCUAACUGAGACGUUCUGCCACGCAGUGUUUAGGAAAUGAUCACAGACGAUGCAAAAAAACAGCGUUCUCCCAUCUGAAGCACACUGCAUGUUAGCCUCAUCACAUCACAUCCUGUAAAGGGGUCACACUGCCGGAUGAGAAGCUGGAGCUGAUUCCUUCCUGGAGGACGACAUCGGCUGAGAUAUCAAAACGUUCUCUCUCUCCUGCUGUUUACUUUUUACUUGUUUUUAACUUAGAAAGCACUUCUACGUCAGUUCUUCAGCUUCCUAUUGUGUCUCUGCUCUGUUCCUUUUGCUCUGUCUCCUCAAACCCCCAGUUGGUGGUGGCAGAUGAAGAAUCCCUUUCUCAGGUUUCUUCCUGUUAAAGGAGAGUAUUUUCACUCCACUGUUGCUACAUCCAUAUUAUGUAUGAGGGAUUGCUCAUACAUAAUACGUAAUGUCAACAACACAAUGGAAGUGAUUGUCUUUUUAAAGUUUCGGUGUCUUAUUCACUUUGAAUAACAAAAGUGAGCUUUCUGUGCUGCUUAAUAACUAGGACCAAUUAAAAUGUAUGUAAGAUUGAACUGAAGUGACUUUUUGUAACGCGCGUCAAGAUGACAUUUGUUGUGCAGUAUAAAUAAGCUAAACUGAAUUAAAAGUAUUUGA